CCUGACGACCAUAGCAAGUUGGUACCACUCCUUCCCAUCCCGAACAGGACAGUGAAACGACUUAGCGCCAAUGAUAGUGCGGAUUCCCGUGUGAAAGUAGGUCAUCGUCAGGCUUUAUAUAUCAAAAACCCCCAGCUCUUUGAGUUGGGGGUUUUUUAUUGACUUCAUCAUGUAUUCUCAUUCAAUAGGAAAAAUAUAUAAAAUCUUAUUGGCAUACCUCUCAGGCUAAA
rnacentral:rRNA from 1 species